UCCAUGCCCCCUGCAACCCACC
rnacentral:misc_RNA from 1 species